rnacentral:rRNA from 1 species
AGCGAACGCUGGCGGCAGGCCUAACACAUGCAAGUCGAACGAACUCUUCGGAGUUAGUGGCGGACGGGUGAGUAACACGUGGGAACGUGCCUUUUGGUUCGGAAUAACUCAGGGAAACUUGUGCUAAUACCGAAUGUGCCCUUCGGGGGAAAGAUUUAUCGCCAUUAGAGCGGCCCGCGUCUGAUUAGCUAGUUGGUGAGGUAACGGCUCACCAAGGCGACGAUCAGUAGCUGGUCUGAGAGGAUGACCAGCCACACUGGGACUGAGACACGGCCCAGACUCCUACGGGAGGCAGCAGUGGGGAAUCUUGCGCAAUGGGCGAAAGCCUGACGCAGCCAUGCCGCGUGAAUGAUGAAGGUCUUAGGAUUGUAAAAUUCUUUCACCGGGGACGUUAAUGACGGUACCCGGAGAAGAAGCCCCGGCUAACUUCGUG